CCUACGGGAGGCAGCAGUGGGGAAUAUUGCGCAAUGGGCGAAAGCCUGACGCAGCGACGCCGCGUGAGGGAUGAAGGUCUUCGGAUCGUAAACCUCUGUCAGCAGGGAAGAACGGUCACUGUGCUAAUCAGCAGUGAAUUGACGGUACCUGCAAAGGAAGCACCGGCUAACUCCGUUCCAUCAGCCGCGGUAAUACGGAGGGUGCGAGCGUUAAUCGGAAUUACUGGGGGUAAAGCGCUCGUAGGCGGUAUGUCAAGUCAAGGGUGAAAUCCCCGGGCUCAAGGUGGGAACUGCCUUUGAAACUGGCAAACUGGAGUGGGUGAGAGGUUAGUGGAAUUCCAGGUGUAGGAGUGAAAUGCGUAGAUAUCUGGAGGAACAUCAGUGGCGAAGGCGACUAUCUGGCACAUAACUGACGCUGAGGAGCGAAAGCGUGGGUAGCAAACAGGAUUAGAUACCCGGGUAGUC
rnacentral:rRNA from 1 species